ACAGUACGCUUCCAGCUGCAGAAAUUCGUCCAACUCUUCGGUGCUACUUUCUGUGUAAAAAAGGGCGUGCAAACGGUGUUAGUUUGAACCAGCAAAAGACGACACAAUAAAGUUAGUGUUGAACACGUGAAAAAACGAUAAACGAUAGCGUUGGUACACUCGAACGUAAACAAAACAACAAUCGGAAAGACAAAUGCAUGCAGUUCUACUACGUGAAGCGUAAGUUGAAGCGUACAGUAAAAGUUUAUGGUGGCUUCAACUGGUAGAUUGUGCUGAUCGGAACAAUCAAAGGUGAACGUGAAUACGUGAAUUUGAGUUUGUACAUGAUUGUGACUGUUGUGAAAGAUACAAUUUUGAAGUGAUGAUAGAACUGCACCGCAUCCACGAUGGAGGUCGUGGUGGUGGUGGUGUUACGGGAUGUGUCGAUUUCGGUUAGAAGAGAUGGUUUACCUUGCAGUGCCUCCUUUAGUUCCUCCAUGUGCUGUACCCAUUCUGGUUUGCGAUACGCUUUGGUUCCGACAAUUUCUGGAAGAGCGUACAACAAAGUGAAAGUUAGUUCCGUGCCGUAGUGCGAACGCCGUGUUGUAUCCGGUCGAGUGUUUGAAUACUGUGGCAUUUGACUUUUGAAGUAGUGAAGUACUGUUUAAUUGAUAUAUCUGGCAGUUUUGGGGUGAGUGCAGUUUAUGUGCACAUUGGCAACCCUUCGAGGCCAUUGGGAGCUCCCGUCGUGGCGGCGUACGGUAAGGCACUCGUGCGUCACUUUCAACGCGUGCCGUCACGAAUGGACGUCACUAAAUGGGAAUCAUCAUCCGUACUGCACACGGUCAGUAGUGCACACACACACACAGAACACAGAAACUCCAUUAAAAAUGAAGCCCUCAAGUUGUGGAACAAAAAACUCGAUCUCUGGUAAGUCAGAAUGAUUCUAAAAAGGAUGAACCAAAUACGGACACAGCUGGCUAAUCUGUCGACGUUGCUCGAUCGACAAACAAGGGUACUGGUGACAAGUUGUCCCGCAUUUUGCAGCUGAUGUGUAGUAGUCACAGCCGGAUAGGGUAGUGGAAAAUUUGUUCAGUCAGACGAAUGCAAUGCGUUUGCUGCCCCCUUUGGACAAAAGUAAUUGUAAAUAGGAUGAAAGGUUUUCUUUUUGCAUUUAAAUGUAUAAUUGUGCUCAGUGAGGUGUAAACAACAACAUUUUCGUGUGCCAUCGGGUCGAUUAAAGGCACGAUGCACUGCGGCAGCGCAACAGAUAUUAUCAUAACACGUCACGUGCACACGGGUGCGCUUAUUUUAUCGCCGCUUUUGCCCACAAUCACAUCAAAUCGAUCAAUUAUUUCCACCCGAAUGAUAAAUCAACAACCUUUUCUCAAGGGUCCCGCGUCGGCAUAAUCCACGGCUUAUGAAAUUUGGAUUUUCAUUUUCAUUUAGCUACCAGUGCACCUUGCAUCAUCAUCAGCGCUUCUCCUUCUGCUUCCGCUCCCGUGCUGCAAGCGGAUUAAUUUAAUGUAUUCCACAAGGUGCAUAUUAGUGUUCGCUGGAGCGUAUGGCGUUUGGUGUGGCCGACGGAUAUCCGUACGGGGCCUUUUUUUUUCACCGCCCUAUUCCGGGAUGGAAAAAGGGCAAGAACCUGCUGAGGUCAGUCGGGCGGAAGGGUAGCGAUUCGGUCGCGCAAAUACGCACUAACGCACGCAGGCCACAAGAAACCUCAACACCUUUCACUUUAUACGAGCGCAACUCAUACUGUACCGCGUGCGCUCUUGUUUGUGUGAAUGUGAUGAGGUUUUUGCAUCAAAAUGCGAGGAAAAGACUGAAACACAAGGGUGCAUUAAUUUUCUGCUCGCAUGGAUGGGUCGCUGGACGGCUCCCUUUUGCCCUUUUGGUUUGGGCUCAUUAUUGCCUUGCUUUUAUCCGUCGUUUCUUGUGGCUUCUUCUACAAUCGAUCAGCGGGAGCGCAAGUGGGUUCAUUCACUGCAUGACUGAUAACCACAAAAACCGGCACGUUGAUUGCGUGAGAUUGCCGGAGGGCUUUAUUGGAGGAAACAUUCUUCUUGGGAUCAAGCUUGAAAUCAAGUGUAUCGUGUGAAGAGGAGAGAGAUCUUACAACAUUCCAUCAAAAUAAAUAGAUUGAAGUUAAGAAACAGGGCGAAAAGUGAGAUACUUCGGGAAGAUGUGAGCUGAUGCAACCUUCACCACUGCCCAGAAACCCUGUCCUCGAUCAAACAAAUUGACGUCUCGCGCAUACACAAUCAACAACAUGCGUCCGUAACCUCCACAACCUCUGACCAUCAGUCCGCUGCUUCACAAAUCAAUUCAGUGUGAACAGAUUACUGCAUGACAUAUGUGUAGUAGCAGUCGAUACCAAA